UCUAUAUGAUUGAGGUCCUAAACCCUAAGUUUGCUUGCUAGCGUCCCUUCACCAUCGCCAUAUCUUUUGGCUUCAAAUUAUAUAGACGAACUAGAAAUCUCUCGAGCUUUCUCUUGCCUUACUUCUUCUUAAUUAAAUCCUUACCAAUGAAUGGCUUCAUUUCUUUCGUUUUACUUUUGGGCAGCUGGCACUUCUCUUCUCUACCCGGACAGCAUGAGAUUUUUCAAUUACUCUGAUCUGUACAAGAUGAUCAACAGCAACAAUGCGGAUUUUGUUACAUAUGCUAUGAUGGACCUUUAACAGCUUGAGAGCGUGACAAUUUCACGCGAACGAAUUUCUAUUGCUACUCGAUGAUAACUGGGUGGACUCUAUAUCGGAUGAAGGCAAAAUAAUGUAACCGUGAAGAUGUUUUCCAUAAGUUCCUUUGCUUCUUUUCUGGCCUCGGCUAACAUAGAGUUCACCUGGUUAUCAUCGGGUAAUAAUGGAGGUUGUUUAACUUUAAACAAUAAUCGCGUGGUUCAAAUGUCACUCUUUCAUGCUGUUUAAGGUACUUUAUAGGAUCUAAUCUCAAAGACAUUAAUCAAGAAUUUCAAGGGUGAGUUAAAGGACACUUGUUUAGCAGAAGCUGAGACAAAGCAGAGAUUGCUCGAAUACACCCGAAGUUCGAACAAUUCGAUCAACAAUAAAGGCAAAAUAAUGUAACCGUCAAGAUGUUUCAGAUAAGUUCCUUUGCUUCUUUUCUGGCCUCGGCUAACAUAGAGUUCACCUGGUUAUCAUCGGGUAAUAAUGGAGGUUGUUUAACUUUAAACAAUAAACAAUGGGUUGAUUCGCGUGGCACAAAUGUCACUCUCUCAUGCUGUUUAAGGUACUUUAUAGGUUGAUCUAAUCUCAAGGACAUUAAUCAAGAAUUUCAAGGGUGAGUUAAAGGACACUUCUUUAGCAGAAGCCGAGACAAAGCAGAGAUUGCUCGAAAACACCCGGAGAUCAAACAAUUUGAUCAACAAUUUGUAGAAGAUAUGUCAAUGUUUACAAAUCUAAUUAUUAAAUUUGAUUUUAUGAUCUAAAUCUCAAUUUAACUUUCUAACCUAGUUUAUGCAGGUACUUUAUGCAAAUCAGGGUUAUCAUUGAUAUGCAGCUUUUUUCAGCAUGUCCGUGGAUUGAUAUGGAAGAAAUUAUCUUGUUACUGUUAAUCAAGAUCAUGUAAGUUGGCCAACUCGGGAAGUGUUAAUGGCUAAUUUUAUUAGUAUAAAAAACAACGAAGUGGAUUAUACAGAUUUCAAAGGCUUAAAGUCUUAAACCAGGCCUUGAAGAACGCUACAUGGGGAGGUGGGGGAGGCAGAUUACUUGAAACAAAUUGGUAUAAGAAUCCAAAAGGCUAACGGUAAAGCUAUCUAGAAGCUGCAGAUUUGAGUUCUGGUCUGUGCUACAAUCAAAUAGAUGGAAGAUUUAUCGAUUGAGGAUUUCGAUUGGAGUAAAUUGAAAAAAUGGGGAGCAAAGGAACUUGGUUUUCAAGUGGAAUUUGCUGAUAAACUAUUGAUGAAGAAUUCGCUUGACUGUUUUGCUUACUCAACAAUUUCGAUAUCAAAGUAAACCAGAGCAAUUUACUCUCUUUUGGUUUUGAAGCGAGUGACUAAAGAUAAUUCAUUAUGAUAUUAAUAUUUCUCAUUAGUUUUAUAUAAUUUUGAUUAUUAUAAUAAUAAA